AGUUCUCCAUUUGCAUUUUUGGGUUUGACCUCUUUACCUAUGAACCUGCAGUUAGUUGCCGUAAUCUUGGGUCAUCUUUGGUGCUCUGAGCACCCUCAAAUGAGAGCCAGAAUUGAAUUACUACUAAAGCAGCAAAAGCUUGCUCGGAAGGACAUCAAGGAUAUACUUCAGGAAUUUCAUGACAAUAUUGGUGAUUUGGAUGGACCAGAAGAGAAAGAGCGAGCACAAGGAAAUAUUCGAAGGUUUAUUUCAGCCUUUUGAUUUCUUAGGUUGUAGACUAAACUUGUGCCAAACUGAAGGUAGUUCCGCUGAAGGUAAUGAGACAAUGAGAGACAUGUUUGUUUCAUUGUAAAAUGUUCCACCGUUUACAUUCAAAGUAAUUUUUUUAUGAACUUCCAUUCUUUGGAGCUAAUUUUGCAAGUCUUGUGGGAA